rnacentral:rRNA from 1 species
AUGAACGCUAGCGGCAGGCUUAACACAUGCAAGUCGAGGGGCAGCGAGGGUAGCAAUACCUGUCGGCGACCGGCGCAAGGGUGCGUAACGCGUGAGCAACAUGCCCGUAUCAGGGGGAUAAUCCAGGGAAACUUGGUCUAAUACCGCAUAAUGAUCCUUUGAGGCAUCUUUAAGGAUUUAAAAUUUCGAUGGAUACGGAUUGGCUCGCGUGACAUUAGCUGGAUGGUAGGGUAACGGCCUACCAUGGCUACGAUGUCUAGGGGUUCUGAGAGGAAGGUCCCCCACACUGGAACUGAGACACGGUCCAGACUCCUACGGGAGGCAGCAGUGAGGAAUAUUGGACAAUGGAUGGAAAUCUGAUCCAGCCAUGCCGCGUGCAGGAAGACGGCCCUAUGGGUUGUAAACUGCUUUUGUAUGGGAGCAAUAAGGGUUACGUGUAGCCUGAUGAGAGUACCAUACGAAUAAGGACCGGCUAACUCCGUG